rnacentral:rRNA from 1 species
UACGUAGGGGGCGAGCGUUGUCCGGAUUCAUUGGGCGUAAAGAGCUCGUAGGCGGCUUGGCAAGUCGGGUGUGAAACCUCCAGGCUCAACCUGGAGACGCCACCCGAUACUGCCAUGGCUAGAGUCCGGUAGGGGACCACGGAAUUCCUGGUGUAGCGGUGAAAUGCGCAGAUAUCAGGAGGAACACCGGUGGCGAAGGCGGUGGUCUGGGCCGGAACUGACGCUGAGGAGCGAAAGCGUGGGGAGCAAACAGG